UUAGAGUUUGAUCCUGGCUCAGGAUGAACGCUAGCGAUAGGCCUAACACAUGCAAGUCGAGGGGCAUCACAUGAGGUAGCAAUACCGAUGGUGGCGACCGGCGCACGGGUGAGUAACACGUAUGCAACCUGCCUUCAACAAGGGGAUAACUCGUUGAAAGACGGACUAAUACCCUAUAACACAGGGCUCCCGCAUGGGAAUAUUUGUUAAAGAUUUAUCGGUUGAAGAUGGGCAUGCGUUCCAUUAGUUAGUUGGGGGGGUAACGGCCCACCAAGGCAACGAUGGAUAGGGGAACUGAGAGGUUUAUCCCCCACACUGGUACUGAGACACGGACCAGACUCCUACGGGAGGCAGCAGUGAGGAAUAUUGGUCAAUGGACGCAAGUCUGAACCAGCCACGUCGCGUGAAGGAAGACGGCCCUACGGGUUGUAAACUUCUUUUGUAAGGGAAUAAAGUGAGUCACGUGUGGCUUUUUGCAUGUACCUUACGAAUAAGGAUCGGCUAACUCCGCGCCAGCAGCCGCGGUAAUACGGAGGAUCCGAGCGUUAUCCGGAUUUAUUGGGUUUAAAGGGUGCUCAGGCGGGCCAUUAAGUCGGCGGUGAAAUUUUGCGGCUCAACCGUAAAAGUGCCUUCGAUACUGGUGGUCUUGAGUGUGGAUGAGGUAGGCGGAAUUUGUGGUGUAGCGGUGAAAUGCAUAGAUAUCACGAGGAACUCCGAUUGCUAAGGCAGCUUACUAAGCCAUAACUGACGCGCAAGCACGAAGGCGUGGGGAUCAAAAAGGAUUAGAUACCCUGGUAGUCCACGC
rnacentral:rRNA from 1 species